CCUACGGGUGGCAGCAGUGGGGAAUAGUGGACAAUGGGGGGAACCCUGAUCCAGCGACGCCGCGUGAGUGAAGAAGUAUUUCGGGAUGUAAAGCUCUAUCAGCAGGGAAGAAAGAAAUGACGGUACCGGACUAAGAAGCACCGGCUAACGACGUGCCAGCAGCCGCGGUAAUACGUAGGGGGCAAGCGUUAGCCGGAUUUACUGGGUGGAAAGGGAGCGUAGCCGGCGAUGCAAGUCGGAAGUGCAAGGCGGGGGCCCAACCCCCGGACUGCUUGGGAAACUGUAUGGCUGGCGUGCAGGUGAGGUAAGUGGCAUUCCUCGUGUCUCGGUUCCAUGCGUCGAUAUUAGGAGGAACCCCAGUGGCGCAGGCGGCUUACUGGACUGUAACUGCCGUUGCGGCUCGAAAGCGUGGGGCGCAAACAGGAUUAGCUACCCGAGUAGUC
rnacentral:rRNA from 1 species